rnacentral:rRNA from 1 species
GAUGAACGCUGGCGGCGUGCCUAAUACAUGCAAGUCGAGCGAACCACUUCGGUGGUGAGCGGCGAACGGGUGAGUAACACGUAGGUGAUCUGCCCAUCAGACGGGGACAACGAUUGGAAACGAUCGCUAAUACCGGAUAGGACGAAAGUUUAAAGGUGCUUCUGGCACCGCUGAUGGAUGAGCCUGCGGCGCAUUAGCUAGUUGGUAGGGUAAAGGCCUACCAAGGCGACGAUGCGUAGCCGACCUGAGAGGGUGAACGGCCACACUGGGACUGAGACACGGCCCAGACUCCUACGGGAGGCAGCAGUAGGGAAUCUUCGGCAAUGGGCGAAAGCCUGACCGAGCAACGCCGCGUGAAUGAUGAAGGCCUUCGGGUUGUAAGAUUCUGUUAUAAGGGAAGAACGACUUUAGUAGGAAAUGGCUAGAGUAUGACGGUACCUAACAAGAAAGCACCGGCUAACUACGUGCCAGCAGCCGCGGUAA